rnacentral:rRNA from 1 species
UACGGAGGGGGCGAGCGUUAUUCGGAAUUAUUGGGCGUAAAGGGCGCGUAGGCGGCUUGAUGUGUCAAAGGUGAAAUCCCUCGGCUCAACUGAGGAACUGCCUUUGAAACUGUCUGGCUUGAGGCCGGGAGAGGGUAGCGGAAUUCCCAGUGUAGCGGUGAAAUGCGUAGAUACUGGGAGGAACACCGGUGGCGAAGGCGGCUACCUGGACCGGUUCUGACGCUGAUGCGCGAAAGCAUGGGGAGCGAACGGG